UGGAGAAGAGGAUAGGGCUUGCAUCGGGAUUUUUCUUCUGUGUGCCUUGUUUUCCCCGAAGACUUCAACCCUUAUAUUACCGCACUGCACAGCCGGCUCGGAGCAUCGUCCAAUGCCGCCGACAGGAGCGAGCAGCAGAGAUCCUCAAAAACUUUAAACUGAAAAACUCAGGAGGAAAGAUGGAAGUAACUUGUAUAAUCCUCAUACAGAAUACAAAUAGAGGGACAUGAAUGAGGAUGGAGCAACAGAAAAGAUGGAUAAAUUAUGAAUACAUGGAUUAUAUGUACAACAACUUGUAACUGUACAGAUCUACCUUCUUCCUAUAGAGCUUCAAUCAGUAAGAGUUACAAGACAUCUGCUAAAGUAUGUGGAACCAGACAUUAUGGAAGAACAAGAACAUGGAGGUACCGGAGUUGUAAGUGAAAUAUACUGGAAGUGAAGAAUACAGUUCAAGAAAGACAAAAAAAGGAUGGUGAAACAAUUUCAUGUUAGUUCACUGAAAACUGUUAAGGAGUAAAGACCGUUAAGCAAUAAUGCAAUAAAGAAGUUAAAUUUAA